GACGAACGCUGGCGGCGUGCCUAACACAUGCAAGUCGAGCGGAGAUGAUGUGAGGAAGUUUUCGGAUGGAAUCACAUUAUUUUAGCGGCGGACGGGUGAGUAACGCGUGAGCGACCAACCUUGCACAGGGGGAUAACGGACCGAAAGGUUCACUAAUACCGCAUGAGACCACGGUGUUGCAUGACACAGGGGUCAAAGGAGCAAUCCGGUGCAAGACGGGCUCGCGUCCGAUUAGGUAGUUGGAGGGGUAACGGCCCACCAAGCCUAUGAUCGGUAGCCGACCUGAGAGGGUGAUCGGCCACAUUGGAACUGAGAGACGGGCCAAACUCCUACGGGAGGCAGCAGUGGGGAAUAUUGGGCAAUGGGGGAAACCCUGACCCAGCAACGCCGCGUGAAGGAAGAAGGUUUUCGGAUUGUAAACUUCUGUCCUUGGUGAAGAGAAGAAGACGGUAGCCAAGGAGGAAGCCCCGGCUAACUACGUGCCAGCCGCCGCGGUAA
rnacentral:rRNA from 1 species